CGAGAGCCGGCAGGACUGUGUGAAUCAGGGUGCUGAGCUGCUGAUGCCGGGGGACCAGGAUGAGCUGGAUUUCCUAAACGAAAUCCUACAGAAACCCACCCGCUACUUCUGGAUCGGCCUUUCCAUCCCCUCCGCCGGGAAUGGCUGGGUCUGGCUGAACGGCUCCCGCCUGGACCAGAGCCGGUUCCAGCUGAGCCCCGGGGAAGAAGGCAGAGCCUGUGGGGUGCUGAGG